GGAUGUGAGGGCGAUCUGGCUGCGACAUCUGUCACCCCAUUGAUUGUCAGGGUUGAUUCAACUGAUCUGGCUGGCUGGGUGGGUGUCCCCUUCCUCCCUCACCGCUCCAUGUGCUUCCCUUUGAAGUUGUGUGCUCGGUCGAAGAGGACGGCCUUCCCCAAAUAGAGACAGACCAGUCUUUGGUCGAGGGUAUAUGAGUAGCUGUGCUCCCCUGCUAGGACCUCCAAACAAGACUGUAAGAUAACAGGGGUAUAAUUCCAUACAGUUCCCAGAGUUCUG
rnacentral:snRNA from 1 species